UACAGAGGUCUCAAGCGUUGUUCGGAUUCAUUGGGCGUAAAGGGUGCGUAGGCGGCGCGGUAAGUCGGGUGUGAAAUCUCGGGGCUUAACUCCGAAACUGCAUUCGAUACUGCCGUGCUUGAGGACUGGAGAGGAGACUGGAAUUUACGGUGUAGCGGUGAAAUGCGUAGAGAUCAUGAGGAAGACCAGUGGCGAAGGCGGGUCUCUGGACAGUUCCUGACACUGAGGCACGAAGGCGAGGGGAGCAAACGGG
rnacentral:rRNA from 1 species